ACCAGAGCUCAGUUCUGCUGAGGGAACCAUUGGAGACAGAGCAGAAUAUUCCUGAAGAGUUGCCAGCCAACGAUCAGAAUGCUAAGCUUCUUCCAGUUGGAUUUCAAGAAAAAGGAAGCAUGGUUUUACAAGGAAAUGAGAGUAGUGAAUGACUAAUUCAUGUACUUGGUCAGUGCACUGGCAUGUCCUUGGUGACAGCAUCACUUUCACCUCCA